GUUUAGGCCAGCAUGUCUGGAGUAUGGUGCAAGAGAGAGAAAGAAGUGAAGAUGAGAUUGGAGAAGGAUCAAAAAGCCAGGUCAUGUAGGACAGUAUAGCUCAAGGCCAAAUAAUACCCACCUGUGAGUUCAGUGUGACUGAUGAGCCAACGGUCUGCAACCUCAAAACAGAAAGAAGGAGGAGGGUCCAGGAUCUUGCCAACACUAAGAUGUCAGAGGAGUAGGAUCCAGCCAUCAAAGAAUGUUCAGAACCCACUGAACAGACAGAGGGAAAACCAAGAGUGUGAUAUUCCUCAAGACAAAAGAAGAAAGCGGCAGGAAGAAGCUGAAUGGUCAGCUUUGUAGGCUGCUGACAAGAGUUUGGGUAAGGUGAGGACCCACAAAUGUCCAUUUGAUGUGCCAUCAUGAGUAUUGGUUGGUAACCUCAACUAGAGAAGUUUCUGUAGAUCUCUGGUAUGGAAUCCUGUUUGAAGAAGAUUGAAGAAUUAAUGUGAGAUAUGAAAGUAAAAAGAGCAGGGCAAUUACCCUCUUCAGAAGUUUUUCUGAGAAAGAGGAGAAUAAAACUGGGGCUGUGCUAUUAAGGGGAUAUGAGGUUUUGGAAGGAAUUCUUAAAGAUAGGUUUAUUAGUAUGUUCUCAUGCCUGUAAUAAAGACAUAACCAAGACUGGGUAA